GGUUAAGCGACUAAGCGUACACGGUGGAUGCCCUGGCAGUCAGAGGCGAUGAAGGACGUGCUAAUCUGCGAUAAGCGUCGGUGAGGUGAUAUGAACCGUUAUAACCGGCGAUUUCCGAAUGGGGAAACCCAGUGUGUUUCGACACACUAUCAUUAACUGAAUCCAUAGGUUAAUGAGGCGAACCGGGGGAACUGAAACAUCUAAGUACCCCGAGGAAAAGAAAUCAACCGAGAUUCCCCCAGUAGCGGCGAGCGAACGGGGAGGAGCCCAGAGCCUGAAUCAGUGUGUGUGUUAGUGGAAGCGUCUGGAAAGGCGCGCGAUACAGGGUGACAGCCCCGUACACAAAAAUGCACAUACUGUGAGCUCGAUGAGUAGGGCGGGACACGUGGUAUCCUGUCUGAAUAUGGGGGGACCAUCCUCCAAGGCUAAAUACUCCUGACUGACCGAUAGUGAACCAGUACCGUGAGGGAAAGGCGAAAAGAACCCCGGCGAGGGGAGUGAAAAAGAACCUGAAACCGUGUACGUACAAGCAGUGGGAGCCUCUUAAUGGGGUGACUGCGUACCUUUUGUAUAAUGGGUCAGCGACUUAUAUUCUGUAGCAAGGUUAACCGAAUAGGGGAGCCGAAGGGAAACCGAGUCUUAACUGGGCGCUAAGUUGCAGGGUAUAGACCCGAAACCCGGUGAUCUAGCCAUGGGCAGGUUGAAGGUUGGGUAACACUAACUGGAGGACCGAACCGACUAAUGUUGAAAAAUUAGCGGAUGACUUGUGGCUGGGGGUGAAAGGCCAAUCAAACCGGGAGAUAGCUGGUUCUCCCCGAAAGCUAUUUAGGUAGCGCCUCGUGAAUUCAUCUCCGGGGGUAGAGCACUGUUUCGGCAAGGGGGUCAUCCCGACUUACCAACCCGAUGCAAACUGCGAAUACCGGAGAAUGUUAUCACGGGAGACACACGGCGGGUGCUAACGUCCGUCGUGAAGAGGGAAACAACCCAGACCGCCAGCUAAGGUCCCAAAGUCAUGGUUAAGUGGGAAACGAUGUGGGAAGGCCCAGACAGCCAGGAUGUUGGCUUAGAAGCAGCCAUCAUUUAAAGAAAGCGUAAUAGCUCACUGGUCGAGUCGGCCUGCGCGGAAGAUGUAACGGGGCUAAACCAUGCACCGAAGCUGCGGCAGCGACACUAUGUGUUGUUGGGUAGGGGAGCGUUCUGUAAGCCUGUGAAGGUGGCCUGUGAGGGUUGCUGGAGGUAUCAGAAGUGCGAAUGCUGACAUAAGUAACGAUAAAGCGGGUGAAAAGCCCGCUCGCCGGAAGACCAAGGGUUCCUGUCCAACGUUAAUCGGGGCAGGGUGAGUCGACCCCUAAGGCGAGGCCGAAAGGCGUAGUCGAUGGGAAACAGGUUAAUAUUCCUGUACUUGGUGUUACUGCGAAGGGGGGACGGAGAAGGCUAUGUUGGCCGGGCGACGGUUGUCCCGGUUUAAGCGUGUAGGCUGGUUUUCCAGGCAAAUCCGGAAAACCAAGGCUGAGGCGUGAUGACGAGGCACUACGGUGCUGAAGCGACAAAUGCCCUGCUUCCAGGAAAAGCCUCUAAGCAUCAGGUAACAUCAAAUCGUACCCCAAACCGACACAGGUGGUCAGGUAGAGAAUACCAAGGCGCUUGAGAGAACUCGGGUGAAGGAACUAGGCAAAAUGGUGCCGUAACUUCGGGAGAAGGCACGCUGAUAUGUAGGUGAAGCGACUUGCUCGUGGAGCUGAAAUCAGUCGAAGAUACCAGCUGGCUGCAACUGUUUAUUAAAAACACAGCACUGUGCAAACACGAAAGUGGACGUAUACGGUGUGACGCCUGCCCGGUGCCGGAAGGUUAAUUGAUGGGGUUAGCGGUAACGCGAAGCUCUUGAUCGAAGCCCCGGUAAACGGCGGCCGUAACUAUAACGGUCCUAAGGUAGCGAAAUUCCUUGUCGGGUAAGUUCCGACCUGCACGAAUGGCGUAAUGAUGGCCAGGCUGUCUCCACCCGAGACUCAGUGAAAUUGAACUCGCUGUGAAGAUGCAGUGUACCCGCGGCAAGACGGAAAGACCCCGUGAACCUUUACUAUAGCUUGACACUGAACAUUGAGCCUUGAUGUGUAGGAUAGGUGGGAGGCUUUGAAGUGUGGACGCCAGUCUGCAUGGAGCCGACCUUGAAAUACCACCCUUUAAUGUUUGAUGUUCUAACGUUGGCCCCUAAUCGGGGUUGCGGACAGUGUCUGGUGGGUAGUUUGACUGGGGCGGUCUCCUCCUAAAGAGUAACGGAGGAGCACGAAGGUUGGCUAAUCCUGGUCGGACAUCAGGAGGUUAGUGCAAUGGCAUAAGCCAGCUUGACUGCGAGCGUGACGGCGCGAGCAGGUGCGAAAGCAGGUCAUAGUGAUCCGGUGGUUCUGAAUGGAAGGGCCAUCGCUCAACGGAUAAAAGGUACUCCGGGGAUAACAGGCUGAUACCGCCCAAGAGUUCAUAUCGACGGCGGUGUUUGGCACCUCGAUGUCGGCUCAUCACAUCCUGGGGCUGAAGUAGGUCCCAAGGGUAUGGCUGUUCGCCAUUUAAAGUGGUACGCGAGCUGGGUUUAGAACGUCGUGAGACAGUUCGGUCCCUAUCUGCCGUGGGCGCUGGAGAACUGAGGGGGGCUGCUCCUAGUACGAGAGGACCGGAGUGGACGCAUCACUGGUGUUCGGGUUGUCAUGCCAAUGGCACUGCCCGGUAGCUAAAUGCGGAAGAGAUAAGUGCUGAAAGCAUCUAAGCACGAAACUUGCCCCGAGAUGAGUUCUCCCUGAGACUUAGAGUCUCCUGAAGGAACGUUGAAGACGACGACGUUGAUAGGCCGGGUGUGUAAGCGCAGCGAUGCGUUGAGCUAACCGGUACUAAUGAACCGUGAGGCUUAACCUU
rnacentral:rRNA from 1 species